ACAAUGGAGAGUUUGAUCCUGGCUCAGGAUGAACGCUAGCGGCAGGCCUAACACAUGCAAGUCGAGGGGCAUCACAGGUAGCAAUACCGGGU
rnacentral:rRNA from 1 species